rnacentral:tRNA from 1 species
GCAGCGGUAUCGAAGUGGUCAUAACGGGGCUGACUCGAAAUCAGUUUGGAGCAAUCCACGUGGGUUCGAAUCCCACCCGCUGCGCCA